rnacentral:lncRNA from 1 species
GUUGCCUUACACACUAUGCAAGCUUUGCUGUUUGCAGUAAAACUGGCUGCUGCUUGCUCUUUGGGUCCACACUGACUUUAUGAGCUGUAGCACUCACCAUGAAGGUUUGUAGCUUUACUCUUGAAGCCAGUGAGAUUAAAAACCCACCGGGAGGAACAAACAACUCCAGUACGCGCCGCCUUAGGAGCUGUAACACUCACGGCGAAGGUCUGCAGCUUCACUCCUGAGCCAGCCGCACCACGAACCUAUCAGAAGGAAGAAACUCCGAACACAUCCGAACGUCAGGAACAAACUCCGGCCACGCCGCCUUUAAGAACUGUAGAACUCGCUACAGCACUCACCGUGAAGGUCUGCGAUUUCAUUCUUGAAGUCAGUGAGACCAAGAACCCACCAAGUCCGGACACAAUGGGACCUGUAUGCAGUCUAUGGGGCAGUUCAGACCAAAGGGCUGGGCGUGGCACCACAGCUGCCCCGAGCCCUUGGCCUCUCUGAGCUUUUCUCUCUCACCUGAGAAAUGGGAUUUCAAGGAAAAUGAGUAGCGGUAACUUACCCACCUUACUCCACGGUUACUGUGAAGCGCCCAGAAGAGAAGCCAUGGAUGUGGGCGACGCAUUCGAGAGCACAGCGCUGGGCUCCAGCCCUGAUGCAGAGGUACAAAGCUCGUCUGGGCAGAUUGUUAUGCAAAUCAAAAGAGGAAGCAGAGCUAGGGGAGCCGAGGAGCUCCUGCUGGGCUCUGCCAGGGAAGAAGCCGCAGUAGGAGCCCCUACGUAGGCCCUGCAAGAGGCCUGGCGUUCAGGAAAGGGCCCGCUGACCAUCCAGUGCAGGGAAAGGAGUCCAGCUCUGGCCUCUGCCCCUCAGCUCCACCUCCUGCAUUCCUAGGAGUUCUCCAGAGGAUCUGAUGGGAGCUCAGAACCGGUCCCAACAGCUCCCUCCACCCUUCAUGAACGGGGGCUGGAAAAUGUGGUCUGCUCUGAUAAGGAUUUGCGUCAGGCUACUGGCUACUCAGCAGCCGAGAAGAGCAAGCCUCCAGGCCUCUGCACGCGUGCCUUCUGCCCGGUGAGCCUCUCACUAUCGUCCUUCUAAAAGACACUUCAAAAAGAGGCAAAAUCAUGCCUUCCAUACAUAUAUUAAAAAAAGAAUAUGUGUCAAAUAUUUUAUUCUACUCCUAAACCAAUUUAAGGAAACCAGGCAGAUGUUACAACUGGUUCAAAUGAAAUCCUAAGAACAGACACAUUUAAUAAUCAGGAAUAUGGAAAAGAACAUGCAAAUGGGAGCUGGGCACAGCGGCUCAUGCCUGUAAUUCCAGCACUUUGGGAGGCCGAGGUGGGUGGAUCACCUGAGGUCAGGAGUUCGAGACCAGCCUGGCCAACAUGGUAAAACCCCGUCUCCACCAAAAAAAAAAAAAAAAAAAAAAAAAUUAGCUGGGCAUGGUGGCACAUGCCUGUAAUCCCAGCUACUCAGUAGGCUGAGGCAGGAGAAUCGCUUGAGCCUGGGAGGUGGAGGUUGCAGUGAGCCAAGAUUGCACUAUUGCAUUCCAGCCUAGGCAACAAAAGCAAAACUCCAUCUCAAAAAACAACAACAACAACAACAAAAACACGCAAAUGGGGGCAAAGCUAGGGAGGGGAGAGUCAACUGGUCUCCUACUGGAGUUUGGAAUCUGCAGGUCUGUAGAGAAGCAAAAUUUUGCAUUGCUAUCACUAACCUACAAGUUAAAGAGUUGUAAGUAGUCUUCAUAGAAUGGAGUCAGAUAAUCCAAGGGAGGUCCUGGAGAGUCUAGAUAAUGCACAGUUUUUCAAAGAUGUACAACUGUUUUCAAAGAUGUACAAAUAUGUACAACUCUGACCACUGAUGUCCUUCACCUGGCCAACUUAACCCACACCUCCUCCAGGAAGCCAUCCCUGAUGCCCAAGACUGGGUUAAGUGCCAGCCCCUGGGCUCCCUCAGUGCCUUGAAUUUCUGAUCACACUGUUCCGUCUCCCUCAUCAGAUCUAUGAGAUUUUUUUUUUUUUUAAGACAGAGUCUCACUGUGUCACCCAGGCUGGAGUGCAGUGGCACAGUCAUAGCUCACUACAGCCUCAAACUCCUGGGCUCAAGGGAUCUUUAGCCUCCCCAGUAGCUGGGACUACAAGUGUAUGCCACCAUGCCCAGCUAAUUUUUAAGUUGUCAAGACAAGGUCUUGCUUUGUUACCCAGGCUGGUCUCGAACUCCUGGGCUCAAGCAAUUUGCCUGCCUCGGCCUCCCAAAGUGCUGGGAUUACAGGUGUGAGCCACUGUGCCUGGCCUGAUCUAUGAGAUCCUUAAAACAGAAGCUGUGUCUUACCCACCUCUCACUGUGCCUUUGAGAAUCAAGGGACACGUGGUUGAAUGAAUGAAUGAAUGAAUGAGAGAAAAAAUGAACAAUACAGGGUCCUAAGCCAAAGUGGUCCACAGGGCCCCCAUAAACCCGUAAAAGACUGACGAGACAGCUGUUGAAGGUCUGCAUGUGUACCUGUGAACACAGACAGGCUUCAAUCUCAAUCUUAAUAAGGGCUCCUCAGAAAUGAAGCUCAGGAAGCAAACAAACAUGGGAAAUGAUGGCUAAACACAAACAGGUGGGUUUUGCUUUUAUUUCCUUUUAACCAUAGGACUCCUGAGUCCUUGUAAUAUAUAGUAAAGAGUCUUGCUCUGUUGCCCAGGCUGGAGUGCAGUGGCACAAUCACAGCUCACUGCAGCCUCGAACUCCUGGGCUCGAGCCAUCCUCCUGCUUCAGGCUCCUGAGUAGCUGCGACUACAGGUGUGCACCACCACACCCAGCUAAUUUUUAAAAAAUUCUUUUAAGAGACAAGAUCUCACUAUGUUGCCCAAGCUGGUCUCAAACUCCUGGGCACAAGCAAUCCUCCCACCUCAGCCUCCCGAGUAGCUGGGACCACAGACACACGCCACCAUGCCUGGCUAAUUUUUGUAUUUUUUGUUGAGACAGGGUCUCUCUAUGUUGCACAGGCUAGUCUCGAACUCCUGGGUUCAAGCGAUCCUCCUGCCUCAUCCUCCCAAAGUGCCGGGAUUACAGGCGUGAGCCACUGUGCCCAGGCUAACAGCCUUUAAUAUAUUAAAGUACCCCAGGAGGGAGAAUGCAAUGUUUCCAUGUUUUCCUUAUCUGACUAUAAAACAAUUUUUUUAAUGGACCAGAGACGAUGGAUUCAUGGAGUUACUGUGAGGAAGACACUCAGCAUCGUGCCUGGUAUCGUGUGUGCUUCAUAAACGCCAGCCAUAGCAUGAUUCUUUAUAAAGGCACCAGCUGCAUUUAUGGAGUAAAUGCCUUUCUUGUGUCAUCUCGCUUGACUGGCAAAGCCAUAAGGCCAGGUGAGGAAGAUGAGGCAGGGGAUGAAGAGGAUAUAACACGUAGGAGGUGAAGUCACUAACCCAAAUCCUUGCAGCCGGCAAGUGGUCAGAAUUCUUGGACCAGGUGUGAGGCCUUAAGAGAACAAGCUAGCCCAGGGCUUGGCAUGAAGUAGGUGCUUAAUAAAGAUUGGUUUUAGCCAGGCGCAGUGGCUCAUGCCUGUAAUCUCAGCACUUUGGGAGGCUGAAGCAGGAGGAUCACUUGAGCCCAGGAGUUCCAGACCAGCCUGGGCAACACGGCUAAUCCCUGUCUCUACUAAAAAUACAAAAAGAUUAGUCGGGUGUGGUGGCGCGUGCCUGUAAUCCCAGCUACUCGGGAGGCUGAGGCAGGAGAAUAGCUUGAACCUGGGAGGUAGACUUUGCAAUGAGCCAAGAUCGCACCACUGCACUCCAGCCGGGGCAACAGAGCAAGACUGUCUCAAAAAAAAAAAAAAAAAAAAAAAAAAAAAGACUGGUUUCUACCAUGCCUCCCUCCUCCCUCCUUCCCAUUCAGCCCAGAGGUUCUGGCAGGGCAGACAGAGCUCCAGGCCAAGGACCCCCAGGUGGAUGUACAGAGCAGACCCAGGCUGAGCCCAAUCUUUCCACCCUGCAGUUCAGCUCCUCCCUCCCCUUUCUCUUCCCAGUCUUCCUGAACCUGCACCUGGCCUCUCUGCACACCCCCGCGUUAUUUGGGGAUGUAAGAACUCAGGGUUCCCUCCCUUAUUACUUCUCCUUGUCCAUCCUGGUGAUAGUGCUUGACUCUCAACACACAAAAGGGGCUUUAAAAUGAUCCUUUGAAAAAAUAAUUUUUUUGCUGGGCACAGUGGCUCACGCCUGUAAUCCCAGCUCUUUGGGAGGCCAAGACAGGCGGAUCACCUGAGGUUGGGAGUUCAAGACCAGCCUGAUCAACAUGGAGAAACCCCGUCUCUACUAAAAAUACAAAAUUAGCUGAGCGUGGUGGUGCAGCUCUUCGGGAGGCUGAGGCAGGAGAAUCGCUUGAACCCAGGAGGCGGAGGUUGCAGUGAGCCGAGAUCAUGCCAUUGUACUCCAGCCUGGGCAACAAGAGUGAAACUCUGUCUCAAAAAAAAAAAAAAAAAAGAAAGAAAAAAAAGAAAAAAUAAUUCUUUAAAACUCUUUUUUAGAGACAGGGUCUCACUCCAUCACCCAGGCUGGAUGUCAUCAUAGUUCACUGUAACCUUGAACUUCUGGGCUCAAGCAAUUCUCCAGCCUCAGACUCCUGAGUAGCUGGGACCACAGGCGCAUACCACCACGCCUGGCUAAAACUGGUUCCUUUUUUUUUUUUUUGAGACAGUGCCUUGUCCUGUCCCCCGGGCUGCAGUGCAAUGGCACAAACACUGCCCACUGCAGCCUUGACCUCCUGGGCUCAAGCGAUCUUCCCCUACAGCCUCCUGAGUAGCUGGCACCACAGGCACGUGCCACCAUGCCUGGCCAAAUUUUUUUUUUUUUUUUGUAGGGAUGGAGUCUCACUAUGUUGCCCAAGCUGGUCUCAAUCUCCUGGGCUCAAGCCAUCCUCCUGCCUUGGCCUCCCAAAGUGCUGGGAUUAAAGGCAUGAGCCACCGUGCCCAGCCUAAAAAUGGUCUUGAUUCAAUGAGUGAGUAAAUGAAGCCUGUGCCCAGGGCCUGCCAGGCCCCCUGGGGCUGCCCACAGGGUAAACACAGACCCACACGGAGCCCCACUCCAGGCCUGGUCGAAAAAAAUGCUGCUCCAGCUGAAGGCUUUCUCAGAGAAAUGACUCAGCCUGAGCACUCAGAUGCAACUUCCACGUUUUAUGGACUGAAGGUGCUUUCAUAACAGCUGGUGAUGAUGAGCCAGAGGCGGGCUAUAAACAGAGCGGUGAUCUGGUCCUGAACACUCAGGUCUCAGCCCCCACCCACAAGCAGGGCCUCUGAGGCUGUGGCUUCUCCACACUGGUGCUGCUUUGUGCUGGCAAAUAGCACAGGCCCCCAAAAUGACCUGGAGGCUCCUUAACUGAGGAGGCAGAUGAGUGACAGGGCCAGACCUGCAGCCUCAAGGGCCUGGCUGUGCCCUCCCUAGCUCCCUUGGGCCUGGGAGCCUUCCAUGAACCUGUGGCCUGGGACCAAGAGCAUGGGGGGCCUAGUGAUGUGCCUGGUGGGGAGCGGGGAGUGCUGCCAGCAAUGACAGUCCCGCUGGGGGGACGUGGUACAGACUCACUGAGACACAGAACCCUGUGAGCAAGGGGGGUUCACUUAAUCCUCCCUGAGGACUCAGACAGGUGGGCUGCAGGCAGUGGGGUAGCCUUGCCUCUCACUCAUGCCCACCCACCCAUUUGCUCAUUCAUUCAGACAAGCGUGGAUUGAGUAUUUUCUUUUUUUUUCUUUUAAAGACAGGGUUUUGCUCUGUCGCUCAGGCUGAAGUGCAGUGGCAUGAUCUCAGCUCACUACAGCCUCAUCCUCCCAGGCUCAACCGAUCCUCCUGCCUCGGCCUCUCAAAGUAUUGGGAUUACAGGCGUGGCCCACGCCUGGUGAAUUGAGCACUUUCUUUCUUUUUCUUUUUUUUUUUUUUUUUUUUGAGAUGGAGUCUCACUCUGUCAUCCAGGCUGGAGUGCAGUGGCAUGACCUCGGCUCACUGCAACUUCUGCCUCCCGGGUUCAAGUGAUUCUCCUGCCUCAGUCUCCCAAGUAGCUGGGAUUACAGGCACCCACCACCACGCCCGGCUAGUUUUGUAUUUUUAGUAGAGAUGGGGUUUUACCAUGUUGGCCAGGCUGUUCUUGAACUCCUGACCUCAGGUGAUCCAUCCGCCUCGGCCUCCCAAAGUGUUAGGAUUACAGGCGUGGGCCACUGCGCCUGGCAAAUUGAGCACUUUCUUUUUUUUUUUUUGAGACCGGGUCUUGCUCUGUCACCAGGCUGGAGUGCAGUGGCCCAAUCUCAGCUCACUGCAACCUCCACCUCCCAGGUUCAAGCGAUUAUCCUGCCUCAGCCUCCAAGUAGCUGGGAUUACAGGCACGCGCCAUCACGCCCGGCUAAUUUUUUGUAUUUUAGUAGAGACAGGGUUUCACCGUGUUAGCCAAGAUGGUCUCGAUCUCCUAACCUCAUGAUCCACCCACCUUGGCCUCCCAAAGUGCUGGGAUUACAGAUGUGAGCCACCGUGCCCUGCCAAAUCGAGCACUUUCUAAGUGCCCACCUGUCAGCGUCACCCCAGGCUUUCCCAUCUCAGCCCGUGGCUCCACUCUCCUCUAGCUACUUUGGCCAAAAACCACAGAGUCAUCUUGGAUCCCAAUUUUUGCUUCACCCCCACAUCCAAUCUUUCGGCGAGUCCCGUCUGCUUUACCUCGGCACAUCAUCAGUGCGCUCAGUGCACUUCCCAGCCACCUCCCACGCUGGGCUGCUAACCUUCUGCCAGGUCACCAUAGCUACCACCAGCUCCUCCUGACCCUUUGGCCUUGGUCUCUAAAACCCAUUCUCCUCUCAUCAGAGUGACCUCAUCCCAGCAUCAUUCUGACCAUUUCUCAUCUUAAAGUCCUCAAAAGGGUCCUAUCAGAUAUUAACAAUUUUUAAAGAAAUUAAGACAGAAUGGCUUUGGCAUCUGGCUAUUAAAAAAAAAGGGUAGGGGGGGCCGAGUGCGGUGGCUCAUGCUUGUAAACCCAGAACUUUGGGAGGCCAAGGUGGGAGGGUCCCUUGAGCCCAGGAGUUCGAGACCAGCCUGGGCAACACAGAGAGACCCUGUCUUUACAAAAACAAAAUUAGCUGGGUGUGGCGGCACAUGCCUGUAGUCCUAGCUACUUGGGAGACUGAGGUGGCAGGAUCACUUGAGCCUGGGAGGUUGAGGCCGCGGUGAGCUGAGAUCAUGCCACUGCACUCCGGCCUGGGUGACAGAGUGAGAGCCCAUUUAAAAAUGAAAAAUAAAGGGAAAAAAAAGGACAGAACAGGAGUCCCGGAGACAGAACCUUGCAUAAAUGAGAAUUUGCCGUAUGACAGAGAAGCAUCACCAACCAGUGGGGAAAAGAUAGACUCUUUUAUAAAUGGCGUUGGGACAAGUGGUGAUCCAUAUGGGAAAGUAAAAUUAGAUCCCCACCUAACACCACACACACAACUCCAGGUGGAUUCAGGACUUACAUGUGAAUAACAAAAUUUUAACACAUUUAGAAGAAAAUAUAGAAGAAUAUUUUUAUGACCUCAGGGUAAGGAACAAUUUCUUUUUUAAAUAAACUUUUUGUUUGAUUACAACAUGCAUAGUGUACAAGUCAUAAGGGUGCCGCUUGAUGAAAUUUCACAGUGACCCCAGCUGUGUAGCCAGCAUCCAGAUCAACAAGCGGGAUGUAAGGCCAGGCACGGUGGCUCACUCCUGUAAUCCCAACACUUUGGGAGGCCGAGGAGGGCGGAUCAGAAGGUCAGGAGUUUGAGACCAGCCUGGCCAAUAUGGUGAAACCCCGUCUCAACUAAAAAUACAAAAAUUAGCCCGGCAUGGUGGCACACACCUGUAGUCCCAGCUACUUGGGAGGCUGUGGCAGAAGAAUCGCUUGAACCCUGGAGGCGGAGUUUGCAGUAACCCGAGAUCGUGCCACUGCACUCCAGCCUGGCGAAAGGGCGAGAAUCCGUCUAAAAAAAAUAAAAAUAAAAAACACAACAACAAAUGGGACAUAGCCAGUGCCUUCCAAAGCCCCCACGUGCCUCUUUUUUUCUUUCUUUUUUUUUUUUGUUUGAGACGGAGUCUUGCUCUGUUGCCCAGGCUGGAGUGCAGUGGCAUGAUCUCGGCUCACUGAAACCUCCGCCUCCUGGAUUCAAGCAACUCUCCUGCCUCAGCCUCCUGAGUAGCUGGGACUACAGGCACACACCACCAUUCCUGGCUAAUUCUUUUUUUAUUUUUAGUAGAGACGGGGUUUCACCAGUUGGCCAGGAUGGUCUCGAUCUCCUGACCUCAUGAUCCACCCGCCUCAGCCUCCCAAAAUGCUGGGAUUGCAGGUGUGAGCCACCACACUCAGCCUUCUUUUUUUUUUUUUUUUUUUUUUUUUGAGACGGAGUUUUGCUCUUGUUGCCCAGGUUGGAGUGCAAUGGCACGGUCUCGGCUCACCGCAGCCUCCCCUUCCUGGGUUCAAGUGAUUCUCCUGCCUCAGCCUCCCCAGUAGCUGGGAUUACAGGCAUCCGCCACCACACUCGGCUAAUUUUUUUUUUUUUUCUUUAGUAGAGACAGGGUUUCUCCAUGUUGGUCAGGCUGGUCUCAAACUCCCGAUGCCAGGUGAUCCUCCCGCCUCAGCCUCCCAUAGUGUUGGGAUUACAGGCGUGAGCCACCGUGCCCAGCCUUUUUUUUCUUUUCUUUUCUUUUUUUUGAGAUGGAGUCUCACUCUGUUGCCCAGGCUGGAGUGCAAUGCAAUGGCGUGAUCUCAGCUCACUACAACCUCUACCUCCCGGAUUCAAGCGAUUCUCCUGUCUCAGUCUCCCAAGUAGCUGGGAUUACAGGUGUGUUCUACCACGCCCAGAUAAUUUUUGUAUUUUUAGUAGAGACAGGGUUUCACCAUGUUGGCCAGGCUGGUCUUGAACUCCUGACAUCAAGUGAUCCACCUGCCUCAGCCUCCCAGAGUGCUGAGAUUACAGGUGUGAGCCACGGCACCCAGCUCCUCAUGCCUUUUGACAGGAAAGAGUAUCUUAGGCACAAAAGGUAUCAGCUACAAUGGAAAAAAAUUGAUGAGUCUGAUGAUAUUGACAUUUAAAUCUUAAGUUCAACAAAAAAAAAUGCCACAAGAUUAAAGGAUACGUACAGCUGAGCACCAUGACUCGUAUCUGUAAUCCCAGCAUUUUGGGAGACUGAGGCAGGCAGAUUACUUGAGCUGAGGAGUUUGAGACCAGCCUGGGCAACAUGGCAAAACUCUGUCUCUACAAAAAAUACAAAAAUUAGCCAGGUGUGGUGGCGUAUGCCUGUAGUCCCAGUUACUUGGAAGGCUGAGGUGGGAGAAUCACUGGAACCUGGGAGGCAGAGGUUGCAGUGAGCUGAGACUGGGCCACUGCACUCCAGCCUGAGUGACAGAGCAAGACCCUGUCUCAAAAAUAAAUAAAUAAAUAAAUAAAUAAAUAAAUAAAUAACAGAUAUGCACAAUAUGGAGGAAAUAUCUGCAAUAUAAUCAGCAAAUUGGUAUCCAGAAUAUGUAAAGGUCUUCUGCAAAUCAAGAAGAGAGACAACCAACCCAACAGAAAAUUUGGCACAGGUUAUGAACCUUAUAGGAAAAAAAAGCCUAGAUGGCCAAUAAUCAUAUGAAAAAGAGGCUCUGGGCUGGGCAUGGUGGUUCAUGUCAAUAAUCCCAGCAAUUUGGGAGGCCAAGGUGGGAGGAUCACUUGAGUCCAGGAGCUGGAGAACAGACUGGGCAGCAAAGUGAGACCUCGUCUCUACAGAAAACAAAAUAAUUAGCCGGGCAUGAUGGUGCAUGCCUGUAGUCCCAGCUACUCUGGAGGCUAAAGCAGGGGGAUGGAUUGAAUCCAGCAGAUGGAGGCUACAGUGACCUAUGAUCAUGCCACUGCAUUCCAGCUUGGGCAGCAGAGUGAGACCCUGCCUCAAAAACAGAAAAAGUCUCUGUCUCAAUAGUAUCAGAGACAUGUAAAUUUUUUUUUGAGAUAGUCUCACCCUGUUGCCCAGGCUGGAGUGUACUGGUGCAGUCUCAGCUCACUGCAACCUCCACCUCCUGGGUUCAAGCAAUUCUCCUGCCUCAGCCUCCCAAGUAGCUGGGAUUACAGGUGUGCACCACCACGCCUGGCUAAUUUUUGUAUUUUUAGUAGAGACGAGGUUUUGCCAUGUUGGCCAGGCUGGUCUCGAACUCCUGACCUCAAGUGAUCCACCCACAUUAGCCUCCCAAAGUGCUGGGAUUACAGGCGUGAGCCACUGCGCCUGGCUGAGAAAGGUAAAUUAAAACAACAAGGAGAUAUUAUGUCUCACCCAUCAGAUAAUUUAAAAUGGAAGAAAACAUAAAAGCUGAUAUUAUUAAAUGUAGACCCAAAUGAGACUCCUUAAAAACACCAGCUCUGGGCUGGGCGCGGCGGCUCAUGCCUGUAAUCCCAACACUUUGGGAGGCCGAUAUGGGUGGAUCACGAGGUCAGGAGAUGGAGACCAUCCUGGCUAACACCGUGAAACCACAUCUCUCCUAAAACUACAAAAAAUUAGCCCAGCAUGGUGGCACGCACCUGUAGUCCCAGCUACUCGGGAGGCUGAGGCAGGAGAAUCACUUAAACCGCAGAGGCAGAGGUUGCAGUGAGCCAAAAUCACAUCAUUGCACUCCAGGCUGGGCAAAAGAGCAAGACUUCGUCUCAAACAAACAGACAAACAAAUAAAAACCCACCAGCUCUGGAGAAGAUUGGUAAAGCCACUUGGAAGUGACACAAAAUGGCAGCUUGAAGGUCAGGUCAAGAUCAGGGUGAAGGUGAGAACAUCUGUGAGCAUUCCUCUUCCAGGCAGAGACUCUACAGAAGCUCUAUGAGCAUCCCAGGAGGAAGAAAUUGGAAACGUCAUCAAGGAGAUACACAAGGUAUGAUACACUCAUACAAUGGAAAAUGGCCGGACAAAUGAAAGAAACAACAUCAAAGUGAAUUAUCAUAAGAUACACCAAGCAGGGCCAGGGUGGGGCCAGGUCCACCUCUCCUGUUGCCCAAUCUUGAAGGUGGCAGAGGACCUUUGAGGCACCUUGCUGGCCCACUGAGGAGCUGUGGCCGAGGCACACGCCCAUCAGGGCUGACUCCUUGCUGGGAACUGGGUCAGGUGGAUGGACGUGGUGACGAGCAACAGUGAGGUUUCCCCCACAUCCUUUCACCUGCCCUGCUGCGUCUGCUGCUGAGUCAGGAUCCAUCUGGGGAGCCACCGUGGGACACUCUCCCCUAUGGGAGAGUGGUAAGGUUCUGGAGUAACACAUGGGACUGGAAAUGUUUCUGUGGCCAUUUUUAUUUUUAUUUAUUUUUUUAAGACAGAGUCUUGCUCUGUUGCUCAGGCUGGAGUGCAGUACUGUGAUCUCAGCUCACUGCAACCUCUGCCUGUGGGAGUUCAAGCAAUUCUUCUGUCUCAGCCUCCCAAGUAGCUGGGAUUACAAGCACCCACCACCACGCCUGGCUAAUUUGUGUAUUUUUAGUAGAGAUGGGGUUUCACCAUGUUGGCUAGUCUGGUGUCAAACUCCCGACCUCAGGUGAUCUGCCCAUCUGAGACUCCCAAAGUGCUGGGAUUACAGAGCUGAGUGACAGAGUGAGACUCUGUCAAAAAAAAAAAAAAAAAAAAAGAAAGGAAGGAAGAGAAAUAGAAAGAAAGAAAGAAAAAGAAAGAAAGAAAGAAAAGAAAGAAAGAAAAGCUGGAAUGAGUCAGGGCAGAAUCAUAGAAUGUCUGGGUGUGAAUCCUGGCUUCCCUCCUUUCCAGUGAAGCAACCUUGGGCGAGUGGCUUGACCACUCUGUGCCUGUUUCCUCACCUGUAGCAGUUAGGAAUGCAUUUGGCUGCAGGUAACUGCAGAGCUCCAACCUCCCGCAAAACAGCAGCUUUGUUCAUUUCAUCUUGAAAAGCUCAGCCAUGUGCGGUUGCUGGUUUUGGUUCAGGAGGUCAGAGAGAGGAUUCAUCAUCUUUGUCUUUUUUCUUAGAAAAACCUGUUUACCUGAAGACUUCCCCUCAAUGUCACUGCCAAAGGGAAGCCUUGCAACCAGGCUGCCGGUUGCACGGAUCCAACAUUUGCUCUGUGGGUCUCAGCCUGGGUCAAACUCACACCUCUAAGGGAUGUUUGGAAAUGUGUGGAGUCAUUUUGGGUUGUCACAAUGAUUUAGCUGCAAUGCAUAGAACAGUCUUAUAUGAAGAAUUGUCCUGCCCUAGAAGAAAAAAAAAUGUCCCACCCAAAUGCCAAAAUGUCUGUGCCCCACUGAAAAGCUCCAGCCUCCGUAAGUGGAGGCAGUGAGUAGGGAAGGGCUGAGACAGAUGCAGGUCAGGCACCAGCCCUCACUCCUGCCACAUCCAGCUUGUAGGGCUGUGCCAGGGAGCAUGGGGAUGUGCCCAGGCCAGCGCCUGGCAUGAGCACAUGUUGGGGUCCCCAAGGCGUGCCUAAGGGGCGCUUUGGCCAGAGCACUGUGGCAAGGUCUGAGACUGGCAAAGAAUGACCCCGGGGACUGAGCAGUGGAUGCAGGUGGAAACAGAGUGCCUCUGAUUUUCCUCUGACCUUCUUGCCUCUCUUCAAAGCCUGCCUGGCCCUCGGAGGCUGCCCAGUGCAUCAUAGUACAUCCCACGGUGGCUCCCCAGAUGGAUUCUGACUCAGCAGCAGACGCAGCAGGGCAGGCAAAAGGAUGUGGGGGAAACCUCACUGUGGCUCAUCACCACGUCCAUCUGCCUCACCAAGUUCCCAGCAAGGAGUCGGCCCUGAUGGGUGUAUUCCUCAGCCACAGCUCCUCAGUGGGCCAGCAAGGUGACUCGAAGGGCCUCUGCCACCUCUAAGAUUGGGGAACAGGAAAGAUGGACCUGGCCCCACCCCAGCCUGCGGGUCACCACCCAUGGCGGGACAAGUGAGAAAAGUUGGCCUUGCUCACCGCUGGAGCCCAAACCACAGGUUUCAUUUCCCCUUGAUAAAGACAAUGUUUGCUAUUGUUGCAUCUGAUGGUAAAAGCAAGUCAUAUUCACUAUCAAAAAGUUUGAAAGGCGGCCGGGCACGGUGGCUCACACUUGUAUUCCCAGCAUUUUGGGAGGCCGAGGCAGGCGGAUCACAAGGUCAAGAGAUCGAGACCAUCCUGUCCAACAUGGUGAAACCCCAUCUCUACUAAAAAUACAAAAAUUAGAUGGGCAUGGUGGCGUGCACCUGUAGUUCCAACUACUUGGGAGGCUGAGGCAAGAGAAUCGCUUGAACCCGGGAGGCAGAGGUUGCUGUGAGCCCCAAGAUUGCACCACUACACUCUAGCCUGGCAACAGAGCGAGACUCCGUCUCAAAAAACAAAAAAAAAAAGGAAAAUAAGAAUCCAGCCUCAAGCCUGUCACCCAGGAACAAUCACUCUAGUUGGCUGGUGUAUUUCCCUCCAGUCUUUUUUUCAGUGUAUGUAUAUAAACUUUAUUUAUAUAUAUUAUUUUAUAGCCAGCUGCUUUUUUUCUUUUAAUUCUAAAUGAUGGGCUGUUUUUUGUUUUAAAACACUGUAGACCAGCCAAGUGUGGUGGCUCAAACCGGUAAUCCCAGCACUUUUGGAGGCUGAGGUGGGCAGAUCACUUGAGCCCAGGAAUUCAAGACCAGCCUGGGCAACAUGGCAAAACCAUGUCUCUACCAAAAAUAAAAAAAUUAGCCAGGCAUGGUUCCAUGCACCUGUAGUCCCUGCAACUUGGGAGGCUGAGAUGGGAGGAUCACCUGAGCCCAGAGAGGUCGAGGCUACAGUGAGCCAUGAUCAUGCCAUCACACUCCAGCCUGGGUGACAAGAGUGAGACCCUGUCUCAAAAACAAACAAACAAACAAACAAAAAAAAACACAGGCUGGGCACAGUGGCUCAUGCCUGUAAUCCCAGCACUUCGGCAGGCCAAGGUAGGUGGAUCACCUGAGGUCAGGAGCUCAAGACCAGCCUGGCCAACAUGGCGAAACCCUGUCUCUACUAAAAAUACAAAAAUUAGCCGGGUGUGGUGGCACACGCCUGUAAUCCCAGCUACUUGGGAGGCUGAGGCAUGAGAAUCGCUUGAACCCGGGAGGUGGAGCUUGCAGCGAGCUGAGAUUGUGCCACUGCACUCCAGCCUGGGCGACAGAGCAAGACUGCAUCUCAAAAGAACAAACAAAAACAAAAACCACUGUAGACCAAGCAAACUCAACUCUUCCUCCUCCCAUGCAGUGCUCCCUCUGCCUGUUUCCCCACAUCACCUGUGUGAUGGGGAGUGGGGGGGCACACAGCGAGGCUGAGGACUCAUGGAAUGACCCUUGGGAAGCCAGAAUGGGCACGGGUACACAUUUCCAAGCAGGAGACUCACUGAUCUACCCACCCCGGGUCCCCAACCACACUGGGAAUCCCCUCCAUGAACGGGAGGAGCCUCUAUCACACACACACACACACACACACACACACACACACACACACACGGAGACCACAGAGAGAACAUGGGCACCGUGGGCAACUGUUUGAAAAUUUCUGAGCUGCUUCUCAGAUAAAGAGAGCACUCUCAUCUUCCUUGUCCUUCUCCAGAAUCAGCAGAAAUCAAGUUUCUCACCUUCCAAGCUCAGCCAAGAAAUUUCAAUUCCAGUGACGACAGAGCUGGUGUGGGGUGGAUGGUUCCCAUGGGAAGGUGUGGGUCACAGGCUGGGCUCUUAGUACUGGGAAAGUCCCUAGGCCAAGUCAGAAUCCCAGGUGUCCUCCCUGAGCACCUGCUGUGUGCAGGAUGCCAUGCCAAACAUUUUAUGAAUUAGUUCAUCCCAUUCUUGUGACACCUCAGCAGGGGAGGUAUCAGUACCCCCAUUUAAUGGAUGAAGAAAUGGAGGCCCUGCAAAAUUAAGCCACAGGCCAACUUCCUCAUGGAUGGAUCAAGCAUCUGAAGCCAAGAGAGUGGACAUGGCCUGUCCAGACUGGGGACCAGCGCAAGGCAAGGUUUAUCCUGCUGGGCCAGGCCCGGCUGCCUCUCUCAGAGGGCACUGGGGAGUUUGCCCUGGACACAGGCUAGGGGCAAAGGCUCACAUGGACAUGUCGAGUCAGCUGCCAGAUCCUGGGCUCUAGGCCUCCCCAACAUCUUCCCAAUGCACCCAGCUGACUCCUGGAGUCCAGAAAGUCCAAACUGUAGAAGGUCACCCCAAGCGCCCUGGGACUUCGCACUCUGCGCUGGCUGACAUGUGGGGCUGGAAUGGCUUCUUCCACUGGGCGUGUAUGUGGGCGUGGGAAUGGACACAUGUGCUCUGUCUCCCGGCCCAACUGUCCAGUCACAGGCGACAGCAUCUGGGUCUGUGGCAAGUUCAGAGCUCCAGACCUGCCUUCCCCACUGAUGCCCUGUGUGACCUGGACCCGGUCUCACUCCCUCCCUGAGUCCCAGUUGUUCUUCUCUUCUGUGGAAUCCUAACCCUGUGAUUCCUGAAGGGGAGGGACAGUAAAGACACAUUUCUUUCUUUUCUUUUUCUUUUUAAGAGAGAAGAUCUGGCGGCCGGGCGUGGUGGCUCAUGCCUAUAAUCCCAGCACUUGGGGAGGCUGAAGCAGGUGGGUCACCUGAGGUCAGGAGUUUGAGACCAGCCUGACCAACAUGGUGAAACUGUGUCUCUACUAAAAAUACAAAAAUCAGCCAGGUGUGGUGGCAGGCACCUGUAGUCCCAGCUACUUGAGAGAUUGAGACAGGAGAAUCACUAGAACCCGGGAGACGGAGGUUGCAGUGAGCCGAGAUCGUGCCACUGUACUCCAGCCUGGGUGACAAAGAGAGACUCUCUCAAAAGAAAAAAAAAAGGAGAAUCUGGCUAUGUUGCACAGGCUGGAGUACAGUGGCUAUUCACAGCACCAUCCCACUACUGAUCAAU